rnacentral:tRNA from 1 species
CUUAUUUUGGCAGAUUAGUGCACUAAAUUUAGGAUUUAGACAAAUAGAUUUUCUAUAAAUAAGA